AAAAAAAGCCACUAAGCUUCAGCUACACACGACCGUACCGCAAACCGACACUGGUGCGCGAGAUGAGUAUUCUAAGGCGCUUGAGAGAACUCAGGAGAAGGAACUCGGCAAAUUGACACCGUAACUUCGGAAGAAGGUGUGCCUUUAGUAGGUGAACCUGUACAAGGGGAGCCCAAUGAGGUUGCAAAAAAUCGGUGGCUGCGACUGUUUAAUAAAAACACAGCACUCUGCAAACACGAAAGUGGACGUAUAGGGUGUGACGCCUGCCCGGUGCUGGAAGAUUAAAUGAUGGGGUGCAAGCUCUUGAUUGAAGUCCCAGUAAACGGCGGCCGUAACAAUAACGGUCCUAAGGUAGCGAAAUUCCUUGUCGGGUAAGUUCCGACCUGCACGAAUGGCGUAACGAUGGCCACACUGUCUCCUCCUGAGACUCAGCGAAGUUGAAAUGUUUGUGAUGAUGCAAUCUCCCCGCGGAAAGACGGAAAGACCCCAUGAACCUUUACUGUAGCUUUGUAUUGGACUUUGAACAGAUCUGUGUAGGAUAGGUGGGAGGCUUUGAAGUGUGGUCGCUAGAUCGCAUGGAGCCAACGUUGAAAUACCACCCUGGUGUGUUUGAGGUUCUAACCUAGGCCCGUAAUCCGGGUCGGGGACAGUGCAUGGUAGGCAGUUUGACUGGGGCGGUCUCCUCCCAAAGCGUAACGGAGGAGUUCGAAGGUACGCUAGGUACGGUCGGACAUCGUGCUAAUAGUGCAAUGGCAUAAGCGUGCUUAACUGCGAGACUGACAAGUCGAGCAGAUGCGAAAGCAGGACAUAGUGAUCCGGUGGUUCUGUAUGGAAGGGCCAUCGCUCAACGGAUAAAAGGUACUCUGGGGAUAACAGGCUGAUACCGCCCAAGAGUUCAUAUCGACGGCGGUGUUUGGCACCUCGAUGUCGGCUCAUCUCAUCCUGGGGCUGUAGCCGGUCCCAAGGGUAUGGCUGUUCGCCAUUUAAAGAGGUACGUGAGCUGGGUUUAAAACGUCGUGAGACAGUUUGGUCCCUAUCUUCCGUGGGCGCUGCAGAUUUGAGGAAGCCUGCUCCUAGUACGAGAGGACCGGAGUGGACACACCUCUGGUGUAUCGGUUGUCACGCCAGUGGCAUUGCCGAGUAGCUAUGUGUGGAAGAGAUAACCGCUGAAAGCAUCUAAGCGGGAAACUCGUUUCAAGAUGAGAUCUGCCGGGGCCUUGAGCCCCCUAAAGAGUCGUUCAAGACCAGGACGUUGAUAGGUCGGGUGUGGAAGCGCAGUAAUGCGUUAAGCUAACCGAUACUAAUUGCUCGUGCGGCUUGAUC
rnacentral:rRNA from 1 species